CGCAACCUUGUCUGUACUAAAAAUACAAAAUAAUUAGCUGGGCAUGGUGGCGUGCCUGUAAGUCCCAGCAACUUGCGGGGCUGGGGCAGGAUUACUUGAACCCAGAAGGUCAAGGCUGCAGUGAGCCGAGAUGGAGCCACUGCACUCAAGCCUGGGAGACAAAGUGAGACCCUGUCUCAAACAAACAAAAAAGGUCACGGGGCUGAGAAGAGUGUGGUGCACACCCGCCCUGACACUUCCCCCAAUGCUCGGUGGCCACCCGCAGUUCCAUCUCCUCCGAAGGGAAUGAACUCCUUGUCCAGUUCGUCUCAGAUCUCAGUGUCACCGCUGACGGCUUCUCAGCCUCCUACAAGACCCUGCCGCGGGGCACUGCCAAAGGGCAAGGGCCCAGCCCCAAACCGGGAACUGAGCCCAAAGUCAAGCUGCCCCCCAAGUCCCAACCUCCGGAGAAAACAGAGGAAACUCCUUCAGCCCCUGAUGCACCCACCUGCCCAAAGCAGUGCCGCCGGACAGGCACCUUGCAGAGCAACUUCUGUGCCAGCAGCCUGGUGGUGACUGCGACAGUGAAGUCCAUGGUUCGGGAGCCAGGGGAGGGCCUCGCCGUCACUGUCAGUCUUAUUGGUGCUUAUAAAACUGGAGGACUGGACCUGCCUUCUCCACCCACUGGUGCCUCCCUGAAGUUUUACGUGCCUUGCAAGCAGUGCCCCCCCAUGAAGAAAGGAGUCAGUUAUCUGCUGAUGGGCCAGGUAGAAGAGAACAGAGGCCCCGUCCUUCCUCCAGAGAGCUUUGUGGUUCUCCACCGGCCCAACCAGGACCAGAUCCUCACCAACCUAAGCAAGAGGAAGUGCCCCUCCCAACCUGUGCGGGCUGCUGCCUCCCAGGACUGAGACGCAGGCCAGCCCCGGUCCCUAGCCCUCAGGCCUUCUUUCUUAUCCAAAUAAAUGUUUCUUAACGA
rnacentral:sRNA from 1 species